AGGCCAGUGGUGCAAUGGUUAACACGUCUGACUACCAAUCAGAAGGUUCUAGGUUCGACUCCUUGUUGGCUCG